GAAAAAGUAUGCAAGAACUGCUAACUCAUGCCUCCGCGCCUAACAGCUCGGCUUUUUCA
rnacentral:tRNA from 1 species